UCAAGUUAUUAAGGGUGCAGGGCGGAUGCCUUGGCACUAGGAGCCGAUGAAGGACGUGAUAAGCUGCGAUAAGCUUCGGGGAGUUGCACGUAAACUUUGAUCCGAAGAUUUCCGAAUGAGGAAACUCACUUAGAGUAAUGUCUAAGUAUCAUUAAGUGAAUACAUAGCUUAAUGAGGGGAACUCAGGGAACUGAAACAUCUAAGUACCUGAAGGAAGAGAAAGAAAUUCGAUUCCGUAAGUAGCGGCGAGCGAACGCGGAUUAGCCCAAACCAAUAAAGUUUUCUUUAUUGGGGUUGCGGACAUAUCAUAACGAAGAGGUAUCGUAAUUGAAGAGGUUUGGAAAGACCCACCACAGAAGGUAAUAGUCCUGUAUGUUAAACGAGAAGACUUCAGAUAUGAUCCAGAGUACCACGGGACACGUGAAACCCUGUGGGAAGCAGGAGGGACCACCCUCCAAGGCUAAAUACUACCUAGUGACCGAUAGCGUAUAGUACCGUGAGGGAAAGGUGAAAAGAACCCCGGGAGGGGAGUGAAAUAGAACCUGAAACCCUGCACUUACAAGCUGUGGAAGCACAUUUCUUGUGUGACCGCGUACUUUUUGUAGAACGGGCCAACGAGUUACGUUAAGUAGCAAGGUUAAGCACUUAAGGUGUGGAGCCGUAGCGAAAGCGAGUUUUAACUGAGCGUUCAGUUACUUGACGUAGACCCGAAACCGGGCGACCUACCCAUGAGCAGGAUGAAGCGAAAGUAAAAUUUCGUGGAGGUCCGAACCCACGAGCGUUGAAAAGCUCGGGGAUGACUUGUGGGUAGCGGUGAAAUUCCAAUCGAGCCCGGAGAUAGCUGGUUCUCCCCGAAAUAGCUUUAGGGCUAGCCUCAAGGUGAGAGAUACGGAGGUAGAGCACUGAAUGUCCUAGGGGGUAUUGCACCUACCGAAGACUAUCAAACUCCGAAUGCCGUCAUCUUAUACUUGGGAGUCAGACUGUGGGUGAUAAGAUUCAUAGUCGAAAGGGCAACAGCCCAGAUCGUCAGCUAAGGUCCCUAAAUGUAAGUUAAGUGGUAAAGGAUGUGGGAUUGCACAGACAACCAGGAUGUUGGCUUAGAAGCAGCCACUCAUUCAAAGAGUGCGUAAUAGCUCACUGGUCGAGUGAUCCUGCGCCGAAGAUUUCCGGGGCUAAAACUUACUACCGAAGCUACGGCAUCAGUAAUGAUGGGUAGGGGAGCUUCCCAUACGGGUUGAAGCAUGACCGUAAGGACAUGUGGACAGUAUGGGAGUGAGAAUGUUGGCAUGAGUAGCGAGAUGUGGGUGAGAAUCCCACAGGCCGUAAACCCAAGGUUUCCAGGGGAAGGUUCGUCCGCCCUGGGUUAGUCGGGACCUAAGCUGAGGCCGAAAGGCGUAGGUGAUGGACAACAGGUUGAUAUUCCUGUACUACCGAUAACCGUUUGAGAGAAGGGAUGACACAGUAGGAUAAGCUAAGCACACUGUUGGUUAUGUGUGCCCAAGCAUUGAGGCAGUCAAAGUAGGCAAAUCCGCUUUGAUAAUGCUGGGAUGUGAUGGGGAGCGAAAUUUAGUAGCGAAGUAGCUGAUUUCACACUGUCAAGAAAAGUCUCUAUCGAGGUUAAAGGUACCCGUACCGCAAACCGACACAGGUGGGUGAGGAGAGUAUCCUAAGGCCAGCGAGAGAACUGUUGUUAAGGAACUCGGCAAAAUGACCCCGUAACUUAGGGAUAAGGGGUGCCACCAUCAGGUGGCCGCAGAGAAUAGGCCCAAGCGACUGUUUACCAAAAACAUAGGUUUCUGCUAAGUCGCAAGACGAUGUAUAGGAGCUGACGCCUGCCCGGUGCUGGAAGGUUAAGGGGAUCUGUUAGAGCAAUCGAAGCAGUGAACUUAAGCCCCAGUAAACGGCGGCCGUAACUAUAACGGUCCUAAGGUAGCGAAAUUCCUUGUCGGGUAAGUUCCGACCCGCACGAAAGGCGUAACGAUUUGGGCACUGUCUCAACAACAGACUCGGUGAAAUUGUAAUUCCGGUGAAGAUGCCGGAUACCUGCGACAGGACGGAAAGACCCCAUGGAGCUUUACUGUAGCUUGACAUUGGGUCUUGGUACUACAUGUACAGGAUAGGUGGGAGGCUUUGAAACCAGGACGCCAGUUUUGGCGGAGCCAUCCUUGGGAUACCACCCUUGUAGUACUGGGACUCUAACCAUAGGCCAUGAAUCUGGUCUUGGGACACUGUCAGGUGGGCAGUUUGACUGGGGCGGUCGCCUCCCAAAAGGUAACGGAGGCGCUCAAAGGUUCUCUCAGUACGGUCGGAAAUCGUACGUAGAGUGUAAAGGCAAAAGAGAGCUUGAUUGCAAGACAUACAGGUCGAGCAAGGAUGAAAAUCGGACUUAGUGAUCCGGUGGUUCUGCGUGGAAGGGCCAUCGCUCAACGGAUAAAAGCUACCCUGGGGAUAACAGGCUUAUCUCCCCCAAGAGUCCACAUCGACGGGGAGGUUUGGCACCUCGAUGUCGGCUCAUCACAUCCUGGGGCUGUAGUAGGUCCCAAGGGUUGGGCUGUUCGCCCAUUAAAGUGGUACGCGAGCUGGGUUCAGAACGUCGUGAGACAGUUCGGUCCCUAUCCGUCGCAGGCGUAGGAAAUUUGAGAAGACCUGUCCUUAGUACGAGAGGACCGGGAUGGACGUACCUCUGGUGUACCAGUUGUUCUGCCAAGGGCAUGGCUGGGUAGCUAUGUACGGAAUGGAUAAGCGCUGAAAGCAUCUAAGCGCGAAGCCAACUUCAAGAUAAGAUUUCCCACCGCAAGGGUAAGACCCCAGAAAGACUAUCUGGUUGAUAGGUCGAAGGUGAAAGUGCAGCAAUGUAUUUAGCUUAUCGAUACUAAUAGGUCGAGGACUUGACCAA
rnacentral:rRNA from 1 species